rnacentral:sRNA from 1 species
GUAGGGGGGUCACGCCUCCUGGAACUCAGGGACCCCAAGUUUCUGUGCAUUCAGGGCGGGGCUGGCCCCAUGCCCUGUGCAUAGGGGCCUGGCUGCAUCCCAGUCGAUCAGCCAGAGGCAGCAGCAGUGGACUCAUCAAUUGUGGAGGAAGCCCUGGGGACCCUGGGGACCUUGCCGACUCUAUUCCCAGCCAGCUCCUAGGACAAGCCUCAGAGCCAACACCCGCUCGACCCUCUCCCGGCCCCUCCCCUUCUUUGUCUUUUGCAGAUGAUCGCCGGGUGUCCUCCUUUUCCCUCUAGUCAGACAAGGUGAGCGCUUCCGCGGCGGGGCUUCUGUAAAGAGGUCACAGCACGCUGUGUCCCGGGACGCACGCGGAUUCCUGCACAGGUGUGGUGGCUGCGGAUGGGGACGGAGCGUAGCAGGCUCGCCGGCCUCCUCCCGGCGGCGGCUCCGCUUCUCCUUCCUGCUGUUCACUUCAUCUCCUCAUCUGCAUGUGUGACAGCGGCGCGCGGACUGGGGAAGGACAGAGCGCCCUCUCCCCGGCUCCCGUGCAGCGGGGCGGGGG